rnacentral:rRNA from 1 species
GACGAACGCUGGCGGCGUGCUUAACACAUGCAAGUCGAACGGAAAGGCCCUGCUUUUGUGGGGUGCUCGAGUGGCGAACGGGUGAGUAACACGUGAGUAACCUGCCCUUGACUUUGGGAUAACUUCAGGAAACUGGGGCUAAUACCGGAUAGGAGCUCCUGCUGCAUGGUGGGGGUUGGAAAGUUUCGGCGGUUGGGGAUGGACUCGCGGCUUAUCAGCUUGUUGGUGGGGUAGUGGCUUACCAAGGCUUUGACGGGUAGCCGGCCUGGGAGGGUGACCGGGCACAUUGGGACUGAGAUACGGCCCAGAGUCCUACGGGAGGCAGCAGUGGGGAAUAUUGCACAAUGGGCGGAAGCCUGAUGCAGCAACGCCGCGUGCGGGAUGCCGGCUUUCGGGGUGUAAACCGCUUUCGCCUGUGACGAAGCGUGAGUGACGGUAAUGGGUAAAGAAGCACCGGCUAACUACGUG